rnacentral:tRNA from 1 species
UAAGAAUUAGUUAAAAUAUAAUAUGAACUUGUCAUGUUUAAGUUGUGAAUCAUUCUUAA